rnacentral:misc_RNA from 1 species
GAUGAAGAACGUAGCGAAAUGCGAUAAGUAAUGUGAAUUGCAGAAUUCAGUGAAUCAUCGAGUCUUUGAACGCACAUUGCGCCCCCUGGUAUUCCGGGGGGCAUGCCUGUCCGAGCGUCAUUGCCGCCCUCAAGCACGGCUUUGUGUUGGGCCCCCGCCCCACGGCUUCGGGGGGCGGGCCCGAAAGGCAGCGGCGGCACCGCGUCCGGUCCUCGAGCGUAUGGGGCUUCGUCACCCGCUCUGUAGGCCCGGCCGGCGCCCGCCGGCGACCCCAAUCAAUCUUUCCAGGUUGACCUCGGAUCAGGUAGGGAUACCCGCUGAACUUAAGCAUAUCAAUAAGCGGAGGA